CAUCCUUAACAGUAGCCUUCACUGUUCCUCCCUUCUCAUUGUUUUCCUUCUCUCUUACCAUCUACUGAGUGAAUGUCUCUUCUGUUUGCACUAGAAACAGGAAGUCUUUUAUCUUUACUUUUGUCACACUCACUAUGCAUGCGCUGCUUGCUGGAGGAAUUACAGCACACCAUUUCAGAAAGAUCUUCAAGAUUUAUGCUGAAGCUUUUCUGCUGCAAGAGAACAGUGCAACACCCAAAAAGCUUGUAAUCAGCAAAAUGUAGGAACUUCUUCUGAACAAGGUGAAAUGCUGAGCCAGAGCCCUUUCUUUUAUUUUUCUUUAAGUUUUCUCUGCUGUUGGAGACUGUCCCCUUCCUUCCCCCGGUUGUCCGAAACACUGAUGCUGGACUAUAACGUUUGCAACCUGGAUUACCUGGAGGAAUUUAUCGACAUGCAUUUUACAGCACCUAAAAACAGAUGACAAAAAAAGUAAAGGCAACCUCACUCCAAACUCCAAGAGACCCCUGCUGCCCCACAGCAUCCUUCCCUGACUCUUCUGUUGUGGCAUGACUUGGGUAGGGGAUUAAGUUACGGUAUGUUGUAGGUACGGAUGGAUCAGAGGCAACCCUAAUAAUUAUUAUAUAUUUAUUAAUUUAUAAUUUUGUACUAUUUCCCAAUGUUAAUGAAAACCUAUGCUUCCUCCCCCACCCUUAGAUACAAUUACACACACACACACACACACACAAACACACACAAACACAUGCAUGUAAAGGAGUUAUCAAAAUAAACUUGAAAUAUUUGCUAUGGUUUGUUUUUCCAAGGGAUUCUCUAUUUGGCACAUACAUAAUGUAAAUAUUGUCCCACUGUACUUAUUGUAUGUUUUUUUUUUUUAUGUGUAUGUUAUAUGUUUGAUUCAGGGGAUUUUGUGUGUGGCACACCUAUUAAAAAAAAAUAAAGAAGUGUAUACACAGAACACCAUCAUUAUGACAUUUCAGAUAUGUAAACAGUGUCUUUCAUUUGCAAUGUGUAAACAUCUAGAGCAGGAAUGCUGCCAAUACACCCAUACCCCUACCCCUUUUCUGUACUAUUGGAGCAUACCUCCACCCCACUACCCUCAGCACUGAGGUCUGUGCAUGGAGCUGAUCUCGAAUUUAACCACCACCAAUAACUUUAAUCCAGAGUUUAUCAUCUCAGAAAACUGACAACAACUCUGUCUUC